UCAAGCGAUGAAGGCACAUGGUGGAUGCCUUGGCAUCAAGGGCCGAUGAAGGGCGUGGCAAGACUGCGAAAAGCCUCGGUGAGCUGUCGAGUAAGCCUAGCCGAGGAUUCCCGAAUGGGGCAACCCGCUUCGGUAAAACCGGAGCACCCCCAGCUGAACACAUAGGCUGGGAGGGGGUAAGUGGGGGAAGUGAAACAUCUCAGUACCCCGAGGAAAAGAGAUUAUUCCCUGAGUAGUGGCGAACGAAAGGGGAGAAGCCUAAACCCGAUAAGCUAAGUGGUUCUGGAGCCUAAGCUUACAGGGGGUUGAAAG
rnacentral:rRNA from 1 species